UACGGGGGGGGCAAGCGUUGUUCGGAAUUACUGGGCGUAAAGGGCUCGUAGGCGGCCAACUAAGUCCGACGUGAAAUCCCCAGGCUUAACCUGGGAACUGCAUCCGAUACUGGAUGGCUUGAAUUCGGGAGAGGGAUGCAGAAUUCCAGGUGUAGCGGUGAAAUGCGUAGAUAUCUGGAGGAAUACCGGUGGCGAAGGCGGCAUCCUGGACCGACAUUGACGCUGAGGAGCGAAAGCUAGGGGAGCAAACGGG
rnacentral:rRNA from 1 species